rnacentral:rRNA from 1 species
UACAGAGGCCCCAAGCAUUAUCCGGAAUCACUGGGCGUAAAGGGUGUGUAGGCGGUUGUGUUAGUCUUUUGUAAAAGCAUCUGGGCUUAACCCAGAUAAUGCGAGAGAAACGGCACGACUUAGAGGUUGCGAGAGGUAAAGGGAACUCAUAGUGUAGGGGUGAAAUCCGUUGAUAUUAUGGGGAACACCAAAUGCGAAGGCACUUUACUGGCGCACACCUGACGCUGAGACACGAAAGCGUGGGAAUCGAACGGG